rnacentral:rRNA from 1 species
UGUCCCAGCAGCCGCGGUAAUACGUAGGGUGCAAGCGUUAAUCGGAAUUACUGGGCGUAAAGCGUGCGCAGGCGGUUAUGUAAGACAGAGGUGAAAUCCCCGGGCUCAACCUGGGAACGGCCUUUGUGACUGCAUAGCUAGAGUACGGUAGAGGGGGAUGGAAUUCCGCGCGUAGCAGUGAAAUGCGUAGAUAUGCGGAGGAACACCGAUGGCGAAGGCAAUCCCCUGGACCUGUACUGACGCUCAUGCACGAAAGCGUGGGGAGCAAACAGGAUUAGAUACCCUGGUUAGUCCACGCCCUAAACGAUGUUCAACUGGUUGUUGGGUC